rnacentral:rRNA from 1 species
CCUACGGGGGGCAGCAGUGGGGAAUAUUGCACAAUGGGGGAAACCCUGAUGCAGCGACGCCGCGUGAGUGAAGAAGCGUUUCGGCGCGUAAAGCUCUGUCAGCGGGGAAGAAACACGGUUCGCGAGAGCCGCGGACGGUACCCGACCAAGAAGCACCGGCUAACUACGUGCCAGCAGCCGAGGUAAUACGGAGGGGGCAAGCGUUAUCCGGAUUCACUGGGGGUAAAGGGAGCGUAGACGGCGAGACAAGUCUGGAGUGAAAGGCCGGGGCGUAACCCGGGGACGGCUUUGGAAACUGAGCGGCUGGAGUACAGGAGAGGUAAGGGGAAUUCCUAGUGUAGCGGUGAAAUGCGUAGAUAUUAGGAGGAACACCAGUGGCGAAGGCGGCUUACUGGACUGUAACUGACGUUGAGGCUCGAAAGCGUGGGGAGCAAACAGGAUUAGAUACCCGUGUAGUC